rnacentral:rRNA from 1 species
UACGAAGGGGCUAGCGUUGUUCGGAUUUACUGGGCGUAAAGCGCACGUAGGCGGAUCGUUAAGUCGGGGGUGAAAUCCUGGAGCUCAACUCCAGAACUGCCUUCGAUACUGGCGAUCUUGAGUCCGGAAGAGGUGAGUGGAACUCCUAGUGUAGAGGUGGAAUUCGUAGAUAUUAGGAAGAACACCAGUGGCGAAGGCGGCUCACUGGCCCGGUACUGACGCUGAGGUGCGAAAGCGUGGGGAGCAAACAGG